UACAUGUGGGGCAAGCGUUGUUCGGAAUUACUGGGCAUAAAGGGUGCGUAGGUGGUUUGUUAAGUCACGGGUGAAAGUUUUCGGCCCAACCGGAAAAUUGCCUGUGAUACUGGCGAACUUGAGUGCGUGAGGGGUAACCGGAACGAACAGUGUAGCGGUGAAAUGCGUAGAUAUUGCUCGGAAGGCCAGAGGCGAAGGCGGGUUACUGGUACGCAACUGACACUGAGGCACGAAAGCGUGGGGAGCAAACAGGG
rnacentral:rRNA from 1 species